GACCGCUCCCGCCCGCGCCUCUCCCAGCUGCGCCAGAACGGGGGCGGUCAUGGAGCGCUCCGCUAGCAUCCCGCGGACGCCACCCGGAGUCGGGUCUCGCAGGAGCUCUCGCGAGAGUAACUGUAAUCUCGGCGGGUCUCAGUAAAAGGAGCCUGCCUGGCUGGAACCUUUAGAAUUUAGGGGAUCUGCAAAUUCUGCCCCACAAAUCCAGGGCAGGCUGUCUCGCUUUGGCUUUGGCGGUGUCGACAGGCCAACUGGGCCUUAUGCACGACUCAGCAUGCCCCCGGAAGAGGCGGAGGAGCCCGCAAGUUCCCCUUGUUUUCCCGACUUUACAUUGUGAUGCUCAGUUUGGUGGCUGUUAAGUAUUGCGCACGGAUAGCUACUUAACCAGAGAAGCCACCAAGUUGCAGAUGCUACCAUGAUGUCAACCUGACUUCCCUGGGCAGAAGACCACACCAGUGUGUCCUGGAACCUCACCUCUCCAGAACCCUGCCAUACUAGGGAAAGAUAAAAAACAGGCUGGGGGUAUGGAUCAGCCUGUAGGCACAGAGAAGCAAUUAUAGAAACCAGAACUCUGGGAGUCAGGUCAGGCGGUAGCACAGUGGGUUAAGCGCACUUGGUGCAAAGCACAAGGAGCGGCAUAGGAACCUGCAGCGGAGUGCCUUCACAGGUGGUGAAGCAGGUCUGCAAGUCUGACUUUCUCUGUCUUUCCCUCCUCUCUCCAUUUCUCUCUGUCCUGUCUAAAAAAAAGAAGAAGCCAGACCUCCCACCUUCUAUACCCCAUAAAAAUCUUUAGUCCAUACUCCAGAGAGAUAAAGAAUAGGGAAGCUUCCAGUGAAGGGGAGGGUAUAUGGAACUAUGAUGGUGGAAAUUGUGUGGAAUUGGACCCCUCUUAUACCACAAUCUUGUUAAUCAUUAUUAAAUCACAAAUAAAAUAAAAUGGGCAGGGGUAGAUAGCAU